CAGCAGUGGGGAAUAUUGCACAAUGGGCGCAAGCCUGAUGCAGCCAUGCCGCGUGUAUGAAGAAGGCCUUCGGGUUGUAAAGUACUUUCAGCAGUGAGGAAGUGGGUAUGUUAAUAGCAUACUCAUUUGACGUUAGCUGCAGAAGAAGCACCGGCUAACUCCGUGCCAGCAGCCGCGGUAAUACGGAGGGUGCGAGCGUUAAUCGGAAUUACUGGGCGUAAAAGCGCAUGCAGGUGGUUUGUUAAGUCAGAUGUGAAAGCCCGGGGCUCAAACCUCGGAAUUGCAUUUGAAACUGGCAAACUAGAGUACUGUAGAGGGGGGUAGAAUUUUCAGGUGUAGCGGUGAAAAUGCGUAGAGAUCUGAAGGAAUACCGGUGGCGAAGGCGGCCCCCUGGACAGAUACUGACACUCAGAUGCGAAAGCGUGGGGAGCAAACAGGAUUAGAUACCCUGGUAG
rnacentral:rRNA from 1 species